CGGUUCAUCAUCGGCAGCUUUAUCGCACCGAGUAGUGCGUUCGUCGGUUGAUUGAUUUAUUUGCGAGGAAUUUUCUACAAGAUAGUCACACUGGCCACCCCGGGUGAUACGGUGCCGCCCGUCCUGUGGCGUUCGCGACGAAAAGCCGAUAUCCACAAACUUUGGAGACCGAAUGACGCUGUCCGUUUGCUCGGUACCAAUUGGACG